UACAUUAUUUUGUAGGGUUUC
rnacentral:piRNA from 1 species